UUCUCGUAGGGUGAACCUGCGGAAGGAUCAUUA
rnacentral:rRNA from 1 species